rnacentral:lncRNA from 1 species
GUAACCUACAGCCUCCAGAUGAAACCAGACACUGAACAUAAUAAAAUAGGAAAUAUAGUAUAGUUCUAAUCGGGGCCAUUUCAUGUAUUCAGGCAAUUUAAUGAGCGGAAACAUUAGGCUUUUACAGUAUGUUCACACCACAAAUACUUUAGGAACGUCUGCCAUGUUUUGGCUAGAAAAAUAAAUGGCCUGUGAAUUUAUCGACGGGUUGACAGAUGGGGGUAUUUUAUUAGGUGGUUGAUUUGAGAGGCAAUGUUGUUGGGGGUUUUUCACAGGGGGCAAAUAUUAGUCCCAUCGUCCUUAUGUGAGGGACUCGAGGGAUUCCGUUUUGUCUAUACCCCCCUCGGACUCUUAAUUGUUUGGCAUCUGGAAAAGGGAGGAUUAUGUUGGUACAGUUGGUUGGCUGCCAGUGCGGUGGCCCACUCAGGCCUGCUCUGAAGGAUUUUAUUGGGCCUGUGAACCUUAACGUGGUGGCAGUAUGAGCUGCGUGCUCCUGGUGAAAUAUCGGAGCCGACAGGGAAGGCAACACAUCACCCAGAGGGUGGCAUGGCUCCAGAGACAGUCAAUCUGAAAAGCACCAGGCCUGAUGACGGACUACCAUCCCCGGACCCUCUCACUGCUUUGCCCUGCGUUCACUCCACUUUGUGUGGUUCCACUCCCUAACAAAGACACUGCUAUUGUUUAUUUACUUAACUGUAUAAAGUGACAGCACACAGGGAGAAUACAGGGAGCACACUGGGAGCACACAGGGAGCACACAGGGAGCACACAGGGAAUGUGUCAUGAUCUUCCUUGGUUUUAAUGUUGGUCCACUCUGAUGAGUAGCAAGAUGACGCCGACAGAGAUGGUCACCUUGCUUCGAGUCCUUAGGAAACUAUGCAGUAUUUUGUUUUUUUAUGUAUUAUUUCUUACGUUGUUACCCCGGGAAAUCUUAAGUCUUAUUACAUACAGCUGGGAAGAACUAUUUGAUAUAAGAGCGACGUAAACUUACCAACAUUACGACCAGAAAUUCGACUUUCCUGAAGCGGAUCCUCUGUUUGGACCACCACCCAGGACAAUGGAUCUAAUCCCAGAAGUCGACCCAAAACAACAGCGCCGCAGAAGGGGCAGACGGAACAGCCUCCUGGUCAGGCUCCGUAGACAUGCACAUUGCCCACCGCUCCCAAGUAUACUACUUGCCAAUAUCCAGUCUCUUGACAACAAGGUAGACGAAAUUCGAGCAAGGGUUGCCUUCCAGAGAGACAUCAGAGAUUGUAACAUCCUCUGUUUGACGGAAACUUGGCUCUCUCGGGAUAUGUUG